rnacentral:tRNA from 1 species
CAAAAAGUAGCUUAAUCCAAAGCACUCAACUUACAAUUGAGGCAUGUUAGAUUCUAUCCUAACCUUUUUGC